rnacentral:rRNA from 1 species
GUGCAGCAGUCGAGAAACUUUACAAUGUGCGAAGCACGAUAAGGGAACUCUGAGUGCCUCCUAAGGAGGCUGUUCAGGUGUCUAAAAGCACCUGAAGGAAGGGCUGGGUAAGACCGGUGCCAGCCGCCGCGGUAACACCGGCAGCCCAAGUGGUAGCCACGUUUAUUGGGUCUAAAGCGUCCGUAGCCGGCUGGGUAAGUUCCUUGGGAAAUUUGGCUGCUUAACAGUCAAGCUUUCAGGGAAUACUGCCCGGCUUGGGACCGGGAGAGGUCAGAGGUACUCCAGGGGUAGGGGUGAAAUCCAUUAAUCCUUGGAGGACCACCGGUAGCGAAGGCGUCUGACCAGACCGGGUCCGACGGUGAGGGACGAAGGCUAGGGGCGCGAACCGGAUUAGAUACCCGCGUAGU